AACGAGCGCUGGCGGCAUGCCUAACACAUGCAAGUCGAACGAGACCUUCGGGUCUAGUGGCGCACGGGUGCGUAACGCGUGGGAACCUGCCCUUAGGUUCGGAAUAAAUCCCCGAAAGGGGUGCUAAUACCGGAUAAUGUCUUCGGACCAAAGAUUUAUCGCCUUUGGAUGGGCCCGCGUUGGAUUAGCUAGUUGGUAGGGUAAAAGCCUACCAAGGCGACAAUCCAUAGCUGGUCUGAGAGGAUGAUCAGCCACACUGGGACUGAGACACGGCCCAGACUCCUACGGGAGGCAGCAGUGGGUAAUAUUGGACAAUGGGCGAAAGGCUGAUCCAGCAAUGCCGCGUGAGUGAUGAAGGCCUUAGGGUUGUAAAGCUCUUUUACCCGGGAUGAUAAUGACAGUACCGGGAGAAUAAGCUCCGGCUAACUCCGUG
rnacentral:rRNA from 1 species